UACGAAGGGGGCUAGCGUUGCUCGGAAUUACUGGGCGUAAAGGGAGCGUAGGCGGACAUUUAAGUCAGGGGUGAAAUCCCAGAGCUCAACUCUGGAACUGCCUUUGAUACUGGAUGUCUUGAGUGUGAGAGAGGUAUGUGGAACUCCGAGUGUAGAGGUGAAAUUCGUAGAUAUCGGAAGGAACACCAGUGGCGAAAGCGGCUUCCUGGUCCAGCACCGACGUUCAGGCACGAAAGCGUGGGGAGCAAACAGG
rnacentral:rRNA from 1 species